rnacentral:misc_RNA from 1 species
GAAAUGCGAUAAGUAAUGUGAAUUGCAGAAUUCAGUGAAUCAUCGAAUCUUUGAACGCAGAUUGCGCCCGCCAGUAUUCUGGCGGGCAUGCCUGUCCGAGCGUCAUUUCAACCAUCAAGCCCCCGGGCUUGUGUUGGGGACCUGCGGCUGCCCGCAGGCCCUGAAAACCAGUGGCGGGCUCGCUGUCACACCGAGCGUAGUAGCAAUCACCUCGCUCAGGGCGUGCUGCGGGUUCCGGCCGUUAAACAGCCUUACAAAACCCAAGGUUGACCUCGGAUCAGGUAGGAAGACCCGCUGAACUUAAGC